CCUCCGUCCCGCCAGAUUCUUUACAGUUUCCUUUUUGGGAUGUCCCAUCCAAUUCUUUACAUUUCAAAACUUACCAAAAAUAGUUAAUGGGUCCCACCACUUCCCAACCUUUUCUUCCUUUUCACACUACUUUAACUCUCUUUUCACACUACUUUUACUCCACUAUCUCUCUUUUAUACAUUAAAAAUUAAUGGGUCCCACCACUUCACCUACUUUUCUUUAUCUUUUC
rnacentral:lncRNA from 1 species